GGUGACGUUGUUGACAGAAGAUAGAGAGCACAGAUGAUGAAAUGCAAGGAGCCAGCAUCUCACUCCUUUGUGCUCUCUAUUCUUCUGUCAUCACCUUAAGGCC